rnacentral:rRNA from 1 species
GACGAACGCUGGCGGCGUGCCUAAUACAUGCAAGUCGAACGCUUCUUUCCUCCCGAGUGCUUGCACUCAAUUGGAAAGAGGAGUGGCGGACGGGUGAGUAACACGUGGGUAACCUACCCAUCAGAGGGGGAUAACACUUGGAAACAGGUGCUAAUACCGCAUAACAGUUUAUGCCGCAUGGCAUAAGAGUGAAAGGCGCUUACGGGUGUCGCUGAUGGAUGGACCCGCGGUGCAUUAGCUAGUUGGUGAGGUAACGGCUCACCAAGGCCACGAUGCAUAGCCGACCUGAGAGGGUGAUCGGCCACACUGGGACUGAGACACGGCCCAGACUCCUACGGGAGGCAGCAGUAGGGAAUCUUCGGCAAUGGACGAAAGUCUGACCGAGCAACGCCGCGUGAGUGAAGAAGGUUUUCGGAUCGUAAAACUCUGUUGUUAGAGAAGAACAAGGACGUUAGUAACUGAACGUCCCCUGACGGUAUCUAACCAGAAAGCCACGGCUAACUACGUG